rnacentral:rRNA from 1 species
AAACGUAGGAGGCGAGCGUUAUCCGGAUUUACUGGGUGUAAAGCGCGUGCAGGCGGUUGGCUAAGUUGGGUGUGAAAGCUCCUGGCUCAACUGGGAGAGGUCGCUCAAGACUGGCCGACUGGAGAGCAGUAAGGGAAGGUGGAAUUCCGGGUGUAGUGGUGAAAUGCGUAGAUAUCCGGAGGAACACCAGUGGCGAAGGCGGCCUUCUGGACUGCUUCUGACGCUCAGACGCGAAAGCUAGGGGAGCAAACGGGG